rnacentral:lncRNA from 1 species
GCCGCAGACCAGCGCCCGAAGGCCGACACCCUGGCCCUGAGGCAACGGCUCAUCAGCUCUUCCUGCAGACUCUUUUUUCCCGAGGAUCCUGUUAAGAUUGUCCGGGCCCAAGGGCAGUACAUGUACGAUGAACAGGGGGCAGAAUACAUCGAUUGCAUCAGCAAUGUGGCACACGUUGGGCACUGCCACCCUCUCGUGGUCCAAGCAGCACAUGAGCAGAACCAGGUGCUCAACACCAACAGCCGGUACCUGCAUGACAACAUCGUGGACUAUGCGCAGAGGCUGUCAGAGACCCUGCCGGAGCAGCUCUGUGUGUUCUAUUUCCUGAAUUCUGGGUAAGUGGACUGUGGCCAGCCCCCGGGAAGAGGGUGAGACGGUAACAAAGACAGUCACUCAUAUGGGCCUAGUGUAGUGUAGCUGACCGAGUGUGGACUCGGAGAGGCAGCCCUCACUGCACCAGGCUCCU